AAGUUCCUUACAUGUUUUGGAAAUUAACCCCUCACCAGAUACACAAGUGACAAAUAUUUUCUCUUUUUCCUCAUAGCCUGCCUUUAGCGAUUCUUAACAUAGUCCAUGGCCAUGACAACAUCAAAGAGUUGUGAGCCAAAUGUUCUUCGACAGGAAACUGGGGAGUUGGCCUGGCUGCUACCUCUGUCUGGAAUAUUCUUCACAGGCCUUGCUCAUACCUCUUUAUCUGGGUCAGUUCCUGCUCUGCCUUUGAUGUCAACCUACUUCCUCAAGACAUCUCUUGAGUAAGUUAAAAUCCCUGUUUUAUGGCCUGAGGAUGUUGGAUAUAUGUCUCCGUGUGAGCCUUUGUAUAAAAUGCAUCCUGAAGCCGAAUGUCUGUGUGAACACAGGACACACAGAUAUUCGUUAUAUUAUUAGCUAUAUGUUUAUUUUAAUAUAUGCUUUUAUGUCAUAUUUUAAAAUAUAUUUUAACUGAAAUAGAACUCACGUUUCCCCCUCUGUUUCCAUUCUCCAGGUAGUCUCCCUUCAUUCCCUCCCACUGGCCUCCAAAUGGUAGCCUCUCUUUCUUUGAUUGCUACAUACAUGUGUAUAUAAGUCACAGAUACAUUAGUUUUUGUUGGUGGUGUAUAUAUGGUUCCAAGGCUGACCAUACUGCAUUGGAAACCAAUAAGGGGCCUCAUCCCUGGAAGAGGGUUCUCCCAGCAGUCAUUAAGUACCGCUGUUCUUUAUCUAUGGGUGGGACCCUUCCAUGUUAGUAUGUCUAUUCCAUGAUGUUGCCAUUGUUACAAUCUUGUUAUGGGGUCAUUUCUAAGAGAGACUGUUCCACAGCAGACUUCCUGGUGUUCUGGUUCUUACAUUCUUUCUGCCUCCUCUUCCUUGAUGUUCCCUGAACCUUCAGUGCAGAGCCAUGAUAUAGAUGUAUCUCUCUUGAGGAUGGACUCCCCAUGAUCUAUUGAUUUCGGCAUUGUGUCCAUCUGUGGUUUUCAGUUUGAUGUAAGGAGAGGUCUCUUUGAUGAGGUUUGGUAGCAACACUCGCCCAAUAAAGGUGCCUUGUUCACAAAGAGUGCUUAUGGG
rnacentral:lncRNA from 1 species